AUUUCUUUCCUUUUACUCAUUUGGCAAACAGUCACAGAGCCUAUCCUCUGUGCCAGGAUGUGCAUGGGGCUGGGGUUUUAGAGAUUAAAUAGUUUGGUUCCUGCCCACGAGCCACGGAAGCCACAGGUGGCAGGGACAGUAAACAAGGGCUGCCCACAGCGGGAUGAGAUAAAAGCUGGUGGAGGUGAAAUGUAAGACGUCCCUGCUCUACCUGUGAAGGUAGGAAUGACAACCGGGUUUCAUACAGAAAGCUGCUGACAGAUCCCAUGUAUCUCAGUGAACUGGCUGCUGAGAAAUUGUGCAGACUGUGGCAACAAUGAGCUUUUGUUUUUGAGACCGGUCUCAAUCAAUUCUGAAAGUUCCUUUUGCCAAGGUUAAAGACAUGCCCAUGACACAGCCUCAGGAGGUCCUGACAACAUGCACCGAAGGUGGUCGGGGGGCACCUUGCUUUUUAUACAUUUUAGGGAGACAUGAGACCAAUCAAUAUGUGUGAACUGUACAUUGGUUUGGUCUGUGCUGAGGGUAGGACAAGUUAUAUGGUUUGCUAAGAACAGCGGCAAGGAAAACCAGGCCAGCCCCUCCAAGCGGAAAAUUGCUCAGGGUGUUCCAAAGUAGUAAACAGUAUGUGUAUAUCAAACACCAGGUAAAACUAGUUCUUUAAGCAUGUGGUAUGUGACCUGCCUCCGUGGCUCCCUCAUGGAGAAUGCUUGUUAGUUUGUCUGUUAUCAGCGGUAAACAGGCAGCAGCUGUCUGCUUAGUUUAUGCUGGUUCUAUGAGAAAACAUAAAACACCUGUUUGAUAAUAAUCACCUGUUCAGAGAGAAUACAUGUGUGCGUCAGAGUCUGCUGGAGGCCCUCAGCCCGGAAUGUUGUCAGUCCCUUGACGAUCUCAGCUCGGAAGGCUGUUGGUCCCCUGAUGGUCCCACUUUGGCGUUCUAUCUUUGUGUCUGCUUUUUAAUUCCUGCAGCGCCGCUGGGUUGGGGUCUCCACGACGGAGCUGGUCUCGGAGGAGAAUGACGAGAACAGAGAGAAUCCAGUCCUGAGCAUGGUGGACCCAGGUUUGGGGCAGGUUGCCGUGCCAUGCCCUUAUUCCACUCGUCAGCCUGCACAGGGAGAUGACAGGGAGGUGAGCACUGAGGAAAGACAGGUAUGUUCACU
rnacentral:lncRNA from 13 species